GAUGAACGCUGGCGGCGUGCCUAAUACAUGCAAGUCGAGCGAACAGACGAGGAGCUUGCUCCUCUGACGUUAGCGGCGGACGGGUGAGUAACACGUGGAUAACCUACCUAUAAGACUGGGAUAACUUCGGGAAACCGGAGCUAAUACCGGAUAAUAUAUUGAACCACAUGGUUCAAUAGUGAAAGACGGUUUUGCUGUCACUUAUAGAUGGAUCCGCGCCGGAUUAGCUAGUUGGUAAGGUAACGGCUUACCAAGGCAACGAUGCGUAGCCGACCUGAGAGGGUGAUCGGCCACACUGGAACUGUGACACGGUCCAGACUCCUACGGGAGGCAGCAGUAGGGAAUCUUCCGCAAUGGGCGAAAGCCUGACGGAGCAACGCCGCGUGAGUGAUGAAGGUCUUCGGAUCGUAAAACUCUGUUAUUAGGGAAGAACAAAUGUGUAAGUAACUAUGCACGUCUUGACGGUACCUAAUCAGAAAGCCACGGCUAACUACGUG
rnacentral:rRNA from 1 species